GCUAUAUGAGUUUGCCAUCGGCUUGCAAGAGGGUAGAGCGUAGGGCAAGGAUUUCGGGUUUGAACCCCCCUUAUAUAGUUUAUGACAGUUCCAAUAUUUUAGUCAAAACAGUGUUAGUCAAAAUUAAAUAAAUAUGCCUAUGAUAUAAAUAUACCACUUUAUUAGGAACACCUGUACACCUUCUGAUUCAUGCAAUUAUCUAAUCAGCCAAUCAUGUGGCAGCAGUGCAAUGCAAAAUAAAAUCAGGCAGAUAUGGGCCAGCAGCUUUGGGUAAUGUUCACAUCAACCAUUAGAAUGGGGAAAAUGUGAUCUUAGUGAUUUUCAUAGGAUUUUCACACACAACAGUCUCUAGAGUUUAAUCAGAAUGGUGCAAUAAAGAAAAACAUCCAGCGGGUGGCAGUUCUAUGGACAGAAACGCCUUGUUGAUGAGGUCAACAGAGGAUGGCCAGACAGGUUUGAGCUGAGAGAAACGCUACAGUAACUCAAAAAUACCACUCUGUACAAUUAUGGUGAGCAGAAAUGUAUCUUAGAAUGCACAGCACAUCAAAUCCUGAGGUUGAUGGGCUACAACAGCAGAAGACCACAUCAGGUUCCACCUCUGUCAGCCAAGGACAGAAAGAUGAGGCUGCACUGCGCACACCAAAACUGGGCAGUUGAAGACUGGAAAACAUAGCCUGGUCUGAGGAAUCUCAAUUUCAGCUGAAGCACACAGAUGGUAGGGUCAGAAUUUGUCACCAAAAGCAUGAACCCAUCGACCCAAAACUGCCUUGUGUGAACAUUCCAGGCUGGUGGAGGCGGUGUAAUGGUGUGAGCAAUUUUUUCUUGACACACUUUGGGCCUGUUAACACCAAUCAAUCAUUGCUUCAAUGCCACAAUCUAACUGACUAUAGCUGCUGACCAUGUGUAUCCCUUUACCCUUUAUCUUCAAAUGACUACUUCCAGCAUGAUAAUACAUCAUAUCACAAAGCAAAAGUCAUCUCGAACUGGAUUCAUGAACGUUACAAUUAGUUCAGUGUUCUUCAGUGGCCUUCCCAAUCAUCGUAUCUGAAUCCAUCUUCGGGAUGUGGUAAACCAUGAGAUUCACAGCAUGAAGUGCACCUGAAAAAACUGCAGGAAUUGUAUGAUGCAAUCAUGUCAACGUGGACCAGAAUCUCAAAGGAAAGUUUCUGACAUCUUAUGGAAUCCAUGCCACAAAGAACUGAGGCUGUUUUGAGAGCAAAGGGAGGUCCUACCCAGCUUUAGUACAGUGUUCCUAAUAAAGUGCUCAGUAAGUGUAUAAAUGUGGCAAUAAAAAAAUCAAACUGAACUCAUUAUUAUAAAAUAUUAUUUCAUCAUACUCGUUUUCACAAUAACAUUGUCACAUUUCAGUUCAUUGUUAUAAUGAUGCAUAUAUAAUACAUUUUUUUCAAGACUACUUAUAUUUCAUAAUGAUCUUUUUUAUUUAAUGAGAUUUUUAUUUUAUAAUGACACAUUUAUUUCAUAAUGAAUCUUUUAUUUCAUAAUGACACAUUUAUAUUAAUUUCAUUCUCUUAUAAUCUGUCAGUGUCAGGUCCAUGCAUGCCAUGAACUUCACUUUCCAGAACAGACUGUAAUCCCAAGCAACACACUCCACUGUUCACGCUCACCGGAUUUCUAAUCAUGCACACCUGUAUCUAAUCACACACACUUUCACUCACCAGAUCUCUGUAAAGUAACGCUCAGUUUGUUCCACAUUUGACUUUACCAAGCCAUUUGCCUGUGAUUACUGUUAUUCUGGUUUUUGGAUUAUUGCCUGUUUUUUGGUUUCCCGAGUUUGUUUUGCCUAGACCAUGUUGUUUGCUCAUCACCUGGCCCACACUUGUGUUCUGACUUUGAUCAUGCCUGCCGUUUUGUAUACCUCUAAUUGUACACCUUUAAUGAAGCUGUGAACUACAUUUGCAUCCAAGGCUAUUCUCCUUGCAUGACAGUCAGUCAGCACCAGUCCUUACAGACUGUUGCAACAGCAGCCUGUCUUCCAUACAAUCUUCCAUUUGAACAUGAUGCUCAAACAGUAUUAGACAAAUAACAACUUCUUUGUCAAUUUUAUAUCUUGAAGAACACUUAUCUGCCCAAGCAGUGAUAGAAGAUGGGAGGCUAAAAUCUAUCAAUAUCUUGACAAUGAUACUGUCUAUUAGUGUUGAGCAAAGCAUUGUAAGUGUUGAGUAAGCAUCAUAAGGUCUCAAUGAUGGCAUGAUGGCCCUACUACAAGAUUUAUACUAGCUGCCCCUGUGCCCAAGCAUGUCCAACAAACCUUCAGUACGGGUCAAAAUAGUGUUGGCUAUUAAAUCAUGUCUAGUUGAUUAGCAAAAGAAAGCAUCGCAUCGCAACUUUGCCACAUAACUUUGGUAGCAGGUAGUCUCAUGUUAGAAAUCUACUGGCCAGGAAAAAUAAUUAAUAGCAAAGGAUUAGCUAAUCACUGAAUAGGUUCAGCCCCAUUUGUGUUGACUGACAGAUUACAACAGAAUGGAAUAAAUGUGUCAUUACUAAAGUACAUAUUUGCCUUCAUUGCUUGAUUUUUUAAAUUAUAUUCUUCUGAAAUCAUAACUUUGUUAAAGCUUUAUGACUACACUGCUCAAAAAAAUGAAAGGAACACUUUUUAAUCAGAGUAUAGCAUCAAGUCAAUUAAACUACUGGGAUAUUAAUCUGGUCAGUUAAGUAGCAGAGGGGGUUGUUAAUCAGUUUCAGCUGCUUUGGUGUUAAUGAAAUUAACAACAGGUGCACUAGAUGGGCAACAAUGAGACGACCCCAAAACAGGAAUGGUUUUACAGGUGGAGGCCACUGACAUUUUUUUUCCCUACUCAUCUUUUCUGACUGUUUUUCACUAGUUUUGCAAUUGGCUGGUGUGAAUGUCUCUGACCAAACAAUCAGAAACAGACUUCAUGAGGGUGGCCUGAGGGCCCGACGUCCUCUAGUGGGCCCUGUGCUCACUGCCCGGCACCGUGGAGCUCGAUUGGCAUUUGCCAUUGAACAUCAGAAUUGGCAGGUCCGCCACUGGUGCCCUGUGCUUUUCACAGAUGAGAGCAGGUUCACCCUGAGCACAUGCGACAUAUGUGAAAGGGUCUGGAGAAGCCGUGAAGAACAUUAUGCUGCCUGUAACAUCGUUCAGCAUGACCGGUUUGGUGGUGGGUCAGUGAUGGUCUGGGGAGGCAUAUCCAUGGAUGGACGCAAAGACCUCUACAGGCUAGACAAUGGUACCCUGACUGCCAUUAGGUAUCGGGAUGAAAUCCCUGGACCCAUUGUCAGACCCUACACUGGUGCAGUGGGUCCUGGGUUCCUCCUGGUGCACAACAAUGCCUGGCCUCAUGUGGCGAGAGUAUGCAGGCAGUUCCUGAAGGAUGAAGGAAUUGAUACCAUUGAAUGGCCCCCACACUCGCCUGACCUAAAUCCAAUAGAACACCUCUGGGACAUUAUGUUUUGGUCCAUCCGACGCCACCAGGUUGCACCUCAGACUGUCCAGGAGCUCAGUGAUGCCCUGGUCCAGAUCCGGGAGGAAAUACCCCAGGACACCAUCCGUUGUCUCAUUAGGAGCAUGCCCUGACGUUGUCAGGCAUGCAUACAAGCACUUAAAAAAAAAAAGAGAAAUAUUUUUCUUCCAAAAGGUUUUCCAUAGACAGAGCAUGGAUUUUGAUGAGUAUAACAAAGCAUUAGGCUAUGUCAUCAAGUACGACUCUAAGGAAGAUGUCCUUUGACUAUACUGGGAGUACAAGUCAUUAGAGAAUAAAGAGUGAUAACUCCAGAUUAACUGACAACUGUAUGAGACUACCAUAAUGCCAGAUUAAAUGAUGAGUGUAAGAGACACAUGACUGCUGCCAAAAAUGCAAAAAAGACUUGAGAGACUUCAGAGAUCUUUAAAUGACUGCAAGGGCAAUUAGCAGACUUUAAGCGUGAUUCUGAUCACCUUAAGCAAGACAAAGACGACCUUGAAGCUAAACUUAGUAAACAGCAUCCACCUCCACCAAUAGCCCUCCUCUGAGUUCAUGGCUGUUACAAAAAUGAUGAAAAUUCUCCAGCCAAAACUAGGCUUUAUUCAGACUCAGCUGCUGUUUGCUUAAGAUCAGAGUCUGAUAAUGGCAUUUCCUCAGAGCUUCACUUAUAACGCGUGCUAUGUGGUGAUGACGUGGAAGGACUAUGUGACUGUGUAAUGAGAACCACCAUGGAUAAGUUCGCUCUGCCUUCUUGUUAUUAUUUUUGUCUUUACUUUUAUUUGUAACGCCAAGAAAGAGUUAAUCUCUCAUGUAUGAGGGGAGUGCGUUGCCGUGUACCAGCCAUUAAAUGUGUGGGACACCAACUCUUCAUUUUCCAUCUCUUUCAUUUCAUGGAUUUAACGAGUUAUCCAGGUCAGAGCGUUACAAGGUGGAAGAAUAAUACUUAAAUCAAAGAUUAGUGGCUCUGCAAUGUAGGAUCUUAAGUGAACAGGCAGUAAAGAAGCCAUAAAACUAUGAAUCCUUCUCCCAGACUUUGUGGAGCCAAGUUAAUUACCGCUUGUUUACUGAUUGCUGGAUUUCAACUGUCCUGUGACCAAUCGGCAAGUGAUAGGACAUCCCUGAACAGAGGAUGAACCCUGUCAGCCAAGAGGAACCUCUGUCAAACUCAAAGAUUUUGGCCCGAUGGACCUAAGACCAGAUGGCUCACCCAACACGAUGGUAAAAUUGAUAACUACAGGAGAAAAGUGUGGGGGUUGGGGGUUACUCAACCAAGGACCCUCAUGAAAUGAAACCUUUGUUCUCCCCAGGAACACAAAGUUCACCACCCUUCACACAUUCCACAGAACCCAGCUUUAACAGACUGCAUAAGGCUACUUUACACCUCCUGUAAACAAUGACUUUUACAAACCAUAGUUUGAAAACUUAUUGCCUCUUGUAAUGUCAUUCCUUAUAUGUAUCAUAUAGCCACCAAGCAUUAUAAUGCUUUUGAUCAUUUAACAGGUGUCAUUGUGUUCUUGAGUGUAUCAAUAACAGCAGGUAUGUAGUGUUUGGUAUGUGUGUGAUUGCUAUUGAAUUUCCUAAGGGUUGGUAUAACGUGAAUUUGAGUACAAUGUAUUACAUGCAUGUUACCAAAUUCCUGACUUAACCUUGUGGAAAGUUAGAAAAGGCACAUUACUCAGAGCCCUGUAUGCUAAUUAGUGUCAGAGGAGGAGAAUGCAGUUUACACCCUGCCCCAAGUUCCUGCUGAUUGGAGCAAAGACUUUGGGGUCAGCCCAACUGGAAUGGGUUAAAACCCCCUGACACAAAGGAAACUUGGAGUCUCAUUCAACACAUCUUCAGAAGUCUCUACCAACAUCUUCAAGGAGCUCUCUUCCAUCAACAUCUGCAGGAUUCCCAUUCUCAAUCUUCAGAGUUCGUGUCACCUAACUACUCCAGGAGAGUUCUCUUCAACUAACAGCUCAAGAAGUUCUUGCCCCUCGUCAUCACAAGGAGAUGUUCAUCGUCAUCGUCAUCACACAUCCGAGACUCCACAUCCAGCCUGGUUCCUGCAGAGCCUCCAACUCCCGUCUUUGCACCGCUGUGAACCACUCAUCAAAGUUUUGCAACCUGCCUAAGAGACUCCGCCAGGUCCGCACCUCAUUCUGUUUAUGAGCCUCAUUGGUCUUUCGAGACGCUAUAUAAGGACAACUAGACCGCCGACCAAUCAACAUUGCCGAAAACCCCUCUAAACAACAACGCAACGAGGGAAUCCCUGGCAACACAAACGCAAGUUCACAUCUCACCCUACCUGCCUGCCUGCACUCUGCUAUGCCCAGCCCUGAUUCACCUCCCCUGUGGUCCACAGACAGAGUAUCUGAUUCCUAUGCUGCUGACCCGAGAUUGAGAUCUGACCUUAACAGUAACACUAGCCACGCUUGCACUCCGCAACUCCCAGCCUUGUUUCACCAUCCACAUGGCUAGGUGACAAAAACACUCAUAGGCCCUAACAGGCCAAUCCUGACGUUUCCUGUGAGACGAGACCAGGGAGGACAACCAACUGAGGACACAGAACUUCUAAUAGCAACUUAGGAUGGGACAGAUCAUGAGGAUUAUCUAGACAUGUGUCAUGCACAGAACUGCCCUUAAAGAGUAUCAGAGGUGGAAUUGAAGGAAAUAUAGUGCCUCCAAAAAGAGAAAUACAAGAAGCCUGCCAAGACACAUCAUUCCUCGGAUCACUAAUCACAUCUGAGCUUUUGACAUUAAUCCUUUGACACACUAAUUGCAUCUGAGCAAUUCCCUCUCUGCCCCAGCACGCCUCGGAACAUGUGAGACGGCCAAAGCAACUCCCUACGACAUGCGCAAAAGCUCUACUGUGGGAUCAGACCAGAUGGUCUAGCCUUCGCUCUCCACUCACAUUAAUGAGCCUUGGGUGCCCAUGACCAUGAAGCCAGUUCACCUGUUUUCUUCCUUGGACCACUUUUGUUCUGCGUGUUUGUCCAAGUAGUGCUGCCAGCGGACACAUGCACGUAUGCACUACUCAGAGGGAGCAGUGACUCAUUCAAGAGCCUCACUGCUUGCAAUACAUGUGAUGUGCUGCUCUUGCAAAGACUAUGUUACAGCAAGGCAAAAGUGCAAAUUGAUCAAGCUAGUUGAACACACCUAAGUCUAGCAGGUGCAGUAAUGAAAUGCGGCAAAGAUGCACCCGAGGAGAUCAAACAGCAUGCUUUGGAGCAACUUAAGCAUGCACCAGUGAGAAAGGGGGACACACACAAUGAACUUUAAAGAACUUUUUCUAUAAUAAACGCGACAUGGUCGUAUGAGUUCUGAAGCGUAUGCUCUAGGUGGAUCGUUUAUUUGUUAAUUGUUAUCCACUGCAGCUUGAGUUAAGUUUCACUUUUGUUUUCAUGAGUUUUGGACACACACACAUUGUCUGUAGAGUUGCUUUGCAAUUACAAAUGAAAAGUACAUUGAAAUAAAAGUGAGUUUUAACUGAAUGCAGCUUGAAACUGUUUAUUUGGUCCAGAAGCAGUAGUAUAAAUGAUGUCUAAAAUGAGUCUGCAUCUGGUGUUAAAAGACAUAGAAAAGAUGUCCACAAUGACCACAUUUGACCUAAUGUACAGGGGUCCUGUGGACAUCAACAUCGGACAUUCAGAAAAUGUCAUAAAAAGUUGUCAUAAUAACUUUGAUUCUGGCUCCUCAGGGGACGUCUUUUCAAUGUGUGGCAAAGACGCUCAAAAGGCGUCCUUUGGAUGUAUCUUUGCUCAGUGGGUUUCUGUUCCUCAGGACUAAAACACUGCCAUUCUCCAGAGAAACAAAGGAGGAAUGCAGGUACCUAAGCUGCCACUAGUAGGCACCACCAUUUCCUGCAUCUUCUGGGAAGAAGCGGGAAGGAGACUCUGCCUGAGACCCCUGGGAAAAAAGCCCCCAAGGGACAUCGUCUCACUCUCUCUGUCUGGCCUAUCAUGAGUGGACAAGAAGACACCCUCUGCAGAAACAAUUUCUUAGAAAAGCCAAUAGUCUUUGUGUGCACUUAAGCCUAACAAGAUUAGAUUCCACUAAAAUGAAAUGCAUUCAUUAGGGUCCAAGCAUCAAAGGUGCAUAGGCACUUAUUGUAAUAGUUAGUGUUAUUAUUAUUAUUAUUCUGCUUCUUCUUCUUCCACUACUGAAGUCUAUUGCAGCCCAUAGAACUGUACAUAGAAAAGUUAUGAAAUCUGGCACAAAGAUAGGGGUCAGUCUGAAAUGUUAGGAUAGCAAAUUUGGAGUCUUUAUCUCAAACUCUCUAGUGCCACCAACAGCUCAAAUUUGCACUCGUUUAUGCUAAUAACUUUUGAAUCAUAAGGGCUACAAACAAUAUUCUUUUUUUCCUCUGAUUCCUUGGCUCGUGCUGAAAGGAGUCGAAAGUAUAACAUGGUUUCAAUUUCUGCCUGACUAGAUUUUCUGCCAUUUUGAAUUUUCUGAAAAACCUACUUUUUCGAACUCUUCCUAGAUGGUUCAUUGCAUCUUCACCAAAUCUGACUCAGAUAUUGUUAGACUAUGCUGGCAAAAAGUUAUUAAAAGCAUUUUGAUAGACCAAACCAUUCUUGAAUAAUGUGCAAACGAAUUUGAUGGCAAGCACGCCUAAAAGGACAUGAGGCUAUAUCUCCGUAAUGCCUUAGCGUAUUCAGACCAAAAUUGGUGUAUCUCAUAGCCAUAAUGACUUGAGGGUACCUACACAGUUUCAGAAUAAUGCCACGUAGUGCUCACAAGAUAAAAAGCAAUUUUAUAAUAUUAUAAAUAAUUCUGUUGAUGGAUUUUAAACCACUGGCCUAAAAACACCACCACAAUGGUAUGUUAAAUCAACUUCUUUUGUGUGCCAUUUGUGUGCUUGGCCCCAUAAUUGCUGCUUGCAGCUAUAUUCUUUCAUUUGUUAUUGCUUUCUUUUUACUUGAAAGUUUAACCCAACCACCAUUAAAACAGUUUAGAGUAUAAUGAGCGCUUCUCUUUUAUUCUUCCCCAGGAUGAACGGAUUCACAAGAAUCCUGUUGAAUGCAUCAUUCCUUGGAUCAGGAAUCACUUCUGAGCUUUGAUUUAUCGAUUCCUGUACCUCUUCUGCCCCAGCGAGCCUCAUAUCACAUGACAUGCACAAGGGAUCUUCAAGUGAGACUAAGCAUCUGGGCUUAAUUAACUACAGGAAAUAUAGUUUGUUUUCUAUUUCUAGUAAAGUGAUGUAUUAUUCUGUAACCUGAAUUUGACCUGAUUGUUCACUGUUUCUUAUGAUACACUAUAUUGCCAAAAGUUUUGGGACGCCCCUCCAAAUCAUUGGUGUUCCAAUCACUUCCAUGGCCGCAGGUGUAUAAAAUCAAGCACCUAGGCAUGCAGACUGCUUCUACAAACAUUUGUGAAAGAAUGGGUCGCUCUCAGGAGCUCAGUGAAUUCAAGCCUAAAUGUACCAUGAUAGGUUGCCACCUGUGCAAUAAGUCCAUUCAUGAAAUUUCCUCACUACUAAAUAUUCCACAGUCAACUGUUAGUGGUAUUAUAACUAAGUGGAAGCAAUUGGGAACAACAGCAGCUCAGUCACGAAAUGGUAGGCCACGUAAAAUCACAGAGCGGGGUCAGCACAUGCUGAGGCGCAAAGUGCGCAGAAGUUGCCAACUUUUUGCAGAGUCAAUAGCUACAGACCUCCAAACUUCGUGUGGCCUUCAGAUUAGCUCAAGAACAGUGCGUAGAGAGCUUCAUGGAAUGGGUUUCCAUGGCCGAGCAGCUGCAUCCAAGCCUUACAUCACCAAGUGCAAUCCAAAGCGCCGGAUGCAGUGGUGUAAAGCACGUCGCCACUGGACUCUAGAGCAAUAGAGACGUGUUAUGCAGACGUGCAGUGACGAAUCAUGCUUCUCUGUCUGGCAAUCCGAUGGACGAGUCUGGGUUUGGCAGUUGCCAGGAGAAGGGUAUUUGCCUGACUGCAUUGUGCAAAUGUGUAAAGUUUGGUGGAGGGGGGAUUAUGAUGUGGGGUUGUUUUUCAGGGUUUGGGCUUGGCCCCUUAGUUCCAGUGAAAGGAACUCUUAAUGCUUCAGCAUACCAAGACAUUUUGGACAAUUUCAUGCUCCCAACUUUGUGGGAACAGUUUGGCGAUGGCCCCUUACUGUUCCAACAUGCAUGCGGACCAGUGCACAAAGCAAGGUCCAUAAAGACAUGGAUGAGUGAGUUUGGUGUGGAGGAACUAGACUGGCCUGCACAGCGUCCUGACCUCAACUCGAUAGAACACCUUUGGGAAGAAUUAGAGCGGAGACUGCGAGCCAGGCCUUCUCGUCUAACAUCAGUGCCUGACCUCACAAACGCGCUUCUAGAAGAAUGGUCAAAAAUUCCCAUAAACACACUCCUAAACCUUGUGGAAAGCCUUCCCAGAAGAGUUGAAGCUGUUAUAGCUGCAAAGUGUGGGCCAACUCCAUAUUAAACCCUACGGAUUAAGAAUGGGAUGUCAUUAAAGUUCAUGUGCAUGUAAAGGCAGACAUUUUGGCAAUAUAGUGUAUAUAACAUUUAGGCCUAUACAAUGUGCUGCUUUGAUCUUUGUCUCUCUCUCCUCGUAUCUCUGUGAGCUCCUGCUGCAUGUGAUCUCAUCCUAACACUAAUUUUUCUGCUCAAUCUCCACAAUUAUCCUUGUUUAUUACAUUCAGAGCUGAUAACGUUCAUCCAUGAACAGUGUUACUGUGUUUCUGGAGUUAUUGCAUUGCUCUUAUUUCACCUUUUAAUCGACUCAUUCAGAAAUUGGGACCAUUUGAUUUGAGCUAGAGCUUCUUUUAGUCCAUGACAGUUAUUUGAAGGUCCCUUCCCAAUGCCCAUGUGGCAUGCAAACCUUCCUUUUCAAAUUUCCCUGUAUUUGUUUCGCUCCUAAUUUGUGGAUGGAUGAGUGGGCAUCAAAUCGCUUUGUUCUCAAGCUAAGGGUGAGCACACCCUUUGUUCAUGCGUAGCUAUAUACCAACGCACUGUGCACACUCACAUUACAACACACACACACACACCAAAAUACCCACUCAUUCAAAACAUCCACUACCAUUUCUAUUAUGCAUUGCUUAGAACUUUUGUUUGCUGAUUUGUGUUCAAUAAAUGUCAUUGUAUUAAACAGAUCAUGUGUUUGUUGUCACUCAUACCAAAACUGAAGCUAAGCUACUAUUGAAGAACUCUAAACUUUCAGAUAACUUUAUGUCACUAUUAUUGUUCUCAAUUAAUCAUUAAGUCAUAAUUGUUGAUUUAUGGCAAUUGCAACUGGCAAGAUUAAUUCAUAAUAAUUUAAUUAUCAUUAAUUAAUUUAAUAAUAACUAAAGCCUUGAAUACUAAUAUCCAAGUAACAUUAUGAGACUGGUUACUUAAAGACAUGUAUGGCCAUUCUAGUAGUAGUAAGUACCUACACCAAUUAAUUAAAACCACUGACAGGUGACGUGAUUAACAUUGAUUAUCUCAUUACAAUGGCAGCUGUCAAGAUUUGGGAUAUAUUAGGCAGCAAUUGAACAGUCAGUUCUCAAAGUUGAUGCAUUGGAAGUAUUAAAAAUGGGCAAGAGUAAUGAUCUGAGCGACUUUGACAAGGGCCAAAUUGGGAAGGCUAAACGACUGGUUCAGUGCAUCUCCAAAAUGGCAGGUCUUGUGGGUUGUUCCUGGUAUGCAGUGGUUAGUACCUACCAAGUGUGGUCCAAGGAAAGACAAGCAUCAGCAUCAGGGUCAUGGGAGCCCAAGGCUCACUGAUGCAUGUGGGCAGCGAAGGCUAGCCCAUCUGGUCUGAUCCCAUAAAAGAGCUUCUGUAGCACAAAUUGCUGAAAAAGUUAAUGUUGGCUAUGAUAGAAAAGUGCCAGAACCCACAGUGCAUCGCAGCUUGCUGCAUAUGGGGUUCCGUAGCCGCAGACCAGAGUGCCCAUGCUGUCCACCAUCAAAAGCGCCUACAUUGGACACAUGAGCAUCAGAAUUGGACCAUGGAGCAAUGGAAGAAUGUGGCCUGGUCUGAUGAAUCAUGUUUUAUUUUAUAUCAUGUGGAUGGCCAGGUACGUGUGCUGUUUUGUCGGCACGAGUGGGACCUACGCUAUAUAAGUAAUGUGGUUUUAAUGUUAUGGCUGAUCGGUGUAUAUCUACCAGCAAGGAGGUUGCUACCAUCUGGUGUUGCUUUAAAGCAGGAGGAACUGGAAAUACUUUUGCCAUCAAGGCCAUCAUAGAUGGAGCAAAAUACAAAGCAAAUUCUUGAGCAGAACCUGUCCAGUCAGCCAGAAACCUGUGUCUAGGGAGAAAAAUUAUAUCCCAACAGGACAAUGACUCAAAGUACAGGGAAAAAAACUAUGAAGGAACAGCUUGAAAAACAGAAGGUUUGUGUUCUGGAAUGGCCAAGUCAAAGUUAAAUCAAACUGCAAAUCUAUGGCAUGACCUGAAAAUGCAAAUGCUGUCCAACAAUGUUCUACAUCUAAUUUGGGAGCACUGGAGUAAACCUGCAUUAAGGCAUGGGAGAAAUUGCCAAAAUCAAUGCAAAGUGCACUAUGAGUGCAAAGCUCAUAAUGACAGAUCCAAGAUGCCUCAAACCUAUAAUUGCUGCAACACUAUCUUUAUAUAGAGAGUUGCUACAAAAGGAGCAGAAAAAAAUCCCAUUUUUAUAUUCCAAAAAAAUGGAAUUUCUGCCUAUUUUGAGGGUGGCUGUGUUCAUUUGAAUUCAUCACUUCAGGUUUUUGUAAGUAUUUCUUAUUUUUGUUUAAAAUUUUGUUGUGGGAGUUGUAAACAGUGUUCUACUAUCAAAAAAUCUUUAAGUGCGUUUUAUCUCUGAACUAAUGUCAGGGCUCACACCCCCGCCUCUUUUCCAUCACUCUGCUCACCAGCAGCUAAACACAGAGUCACAAUACUCUCACGAUUCUUCAGUCGUGCAAAUAAAUGUCUAAAGUAUGAAGAUCGCACCAGUCUCCUGUGUACUGAUUCAUCUUUGACUCUAAGUUGGACAUGUUCAGCUACAUGCUAGAUAAUGUAGCUCCACUUAAACAAAACAUAAUUGGAGAGAAAAUACUAGCACUCUGGUAUAACGAUCACACACGCACCUUAAAAGAGACCAGUCGAGAAUUAGAACAUAAAUGUCAUCAAACUAAAAAAAUAAUCCUAGAUUCUUAUUUAAUACUGUAGCAACAUUAUCUAGGAAUAAGACCACUACAGAAGCAUGCGCACCAUUAAAAUGUAGCAGCGAUGACUUCCUGAAUUUUUUAAAUUACAAAAUUGAAAAUAUCAGGCAAAAAAUUCAGACUACAAAUUUAAAACCAGACAAUUUGAUAACUAACUCUGUAGACAAUAAUAAUAUAACCGUAACAGAUCAGUGAUUAGAAUGUUUUACUUCCCUUCAGAGACUGAAAUAAUGUCACUAAUUUCCUCAUCAAAAUCAUCAACUUGUAUACAACAUCCCUUACCUACAUGUUUCUUCAAACAGAUUCCAGAAGCAAUCGAACCCCUUAGCACUGGCUAUGUACCUAAAUUUCUGAUUAUCAGUUAUUAAACCCCUGAUUAAAUAACCUGCCUCGACCCCUGUCAGUUGUCUGAUUAUAGACCAAUAUCAAACCUCCCCUUUAUCUCCAACAUCCUAGAAAAGUUGUGGCACAUCAGUUAUGCUCAUACUUACAUAGGAAUAGCAUUCAUGAAAUGUAUCAGUCAGGCUUUAGGCCUCAUCAUAGGACAGAGACAGCACUGGUUGAAGUGGUAAAUGACCUACUACUUGCCUCUGAUCAGGGUUGUGUCUCCUUGCUUGUGUUGCUUGAGCUUAGCACAGCUUUUGAUACCAUCGAUCAUACUAUUUUCCUUGAUAGACUAGAAAAUGUUGUUGGUGUUAUGGGAAUGGCCUUCUCCUGGCUCAGGGCUUAUUUGACUGAUCGUUAUCUAUGCACACUAAGGUAAAAUUUUGUGUUCCGCAAGGUUCUGUUUUAGGCACACUUCUUUUUUCUUUACAUAUGCUACCUCUGGGUAAAAUUAUUCAUAAACAUGGUAUUAGCUUCCACUGUUAUGCUGAUGACACACAGUUGUAUGUUUCAGCAAAGGUAAAGGACAUUAAACACCGGGUGCUUAUUAACUAUCUUCAACUUAAUUCUGACAAGACAGAAAUACUUGUACUAGGACCAUUUGCAGCUAGAAUUAAGCACUCUGAUUACAUAGUAACUCUGGAUGACUUUUCUGACCUUGGUGUGAUUAUUGACUCCAGUCUUUCAUUUGAAGCUCAUGUAGUUCAUGUUACUAGGAUAGCCUUCUUGCUAUCUUGCUAUAUUGCUAAGAUAAAUAUAAUGUCACUCCACGAUGCGGAAAAACUAGUUCAUGCUUUUGUUACCUCUAGGUUGGAUUAUUGUAAUAUCUUACUGUCUGGAUGUUCCAGUAGGUGCAUAAACAAGCUCCACUUAGUCCAAAAUGCAGGAGCCAGAGUUCUUACUACAACCAGAAGCUAUGACCCCAUCACCCCAAUCUUAUCCACAAUGCAAGCUGCCACUGUUGGGGCCUUGAGCAAGGCCCUUAACUACAUCUGCUCCGGGGCACUGUAUCGUAGCUGACCCUGUGCUCUAAACAUAGCUUUCUAGCAAGCUGGGAUAUGCAAAAACAUUUUCUUGGGGGGCAGUGGUGGCUCAACAGUUAAGGCUCUGGAUUACUGAUCAGAAGGUCAGGGGUUCAAGCUCCAGCACCACCAAGCUGCUUAACCUUCUCUGCUCCAGGGGCACCGUAACAUGGCUGACCCUGUGCUCUGACCCCAGCUUCCUAACAAGCUGGGGUAUGCAAAGAAAAGAAUUUCACUGUGCUGUAAUAUAUAUGUGACAAAUAAAGGCUUCUUCUACAUUU